rnacentral:lncRNA from 1 species
UAAAAUUAUGCUAGCAUUGACGAUUGACAUAUGUUUCAUCCUUGCAAUAUAUAUUUUUUUAAUUUCUGAGAAACAAUAAUGAUGAAAAUUUAACCUCCAUUUUAACUGAGAACAACCAUGUUCUAUUCUAAAUUGCAAGUUAGAUCUUUACAAUUUGAUUAGCAUCACAUCCCUUAUCCAUCCGAUCAACUCUCUUCCUAUGUUCACAUGCCGCGCCCACCAGUCCCAUUUUAUCUUCUUCGCAACUUUCUACCUUUGACUUC